rnacentral:rRNA from 1 species
CGAGUGGCGGACGGGUGAGUAAUGUCUGGGAAACUGCCUGAUGGAGGGGGAUAACUACUGGAAACGGUAGCUAAUACCGCAUAACGUCGCAAGACCAAAGAGGGGGACCUUCGGGCCUCUUGCCAUCGGAUGUGCCCAGAUGGGAUUAGCUAGUAGGUGGGGUAACGGCUCACCUAGGCGACGAUCCCUAGCUGGUCUGAGAGGAUGACCAGCCACACUGGAACUGAGACACGGUCCAGACUCCUACGGGAGGCA